UGCCCCGUGGCUGAGUUGGUUACAGCGUCCGACUGUUACAAUGUGGCGGGAUCGCAGUACAUCGGAAGGUCGUGAGUUCGAGCCUCACCGGGGCAG